rnacentral:tmRNA from 1 species
GGGGAUGAUCGGUUUCGACGAUGUGAGUUGAGAUGGGUGAAGCGUGCCGAGGAUGCAGGGUUAUCUCGUUAACGCCCUCUGCAAAAAAUUAAGUGCAGAAUCUAAGCGCACUGACUUCGCACUCGCUGCCUAAGCGCGAGUUGCCGUCUGUCGGCCUGAGCAUGCCUUUGGCUCAGUUACCGGCAUCGACUUAAAAGGCCACUGCUGCUAGCCCUUGUUG